GAUGAGGUUAAUAGGUUCGAUGUGGAAGCAUGGUGACAUGUGGAGCUGACGAAUACUAAUCGAUCGAAGACUUAAUCAA
rnacentral:rRNA from 1 species